UGAUGUGUAGCCUAAUGGUCAGGCAGUUGGCUGUUAACCAACCUUACGAGGGUUCAAUUCCCUCCACAUCAG
rnacentral:tRNA from 1 species